GUGCUCACUUCAGCAGCACGUGUACUAAAACUGGAACAACGCAGAAGAGAUUAGCAUGGCCCCUGAGCAAGGAUGACAGGCAGAAAAAACCAUGUAAAAUGUUCCU